rnacentral:lncRNA from 1 species
AUGAUUUUGUAUCUACGGAUGUCAGGCUGCACUGUACCAAGGCAAAGCCUGUUUCUUUUAGCUGUGUCUUGGUCUUCAACACAGGUCCCUCUGUGUAGAAGAUGCUGUGUAAUACAACAGAAAAGAACUGGAAUCCAUUUCAAGCCUAGGAGGAAAUUCAACCUGGACUAUCUUUUUCUUUCAAGAAAAUUAACAAAGAACCAAAGGAGCCCUUUAUCUACCGAGUGCAGACUUCAUUAAUUAAUCCUUUUUAUCUAUGACAGUUAAAGGUAAAUCUAGAAUAUUCUGUCCCCUUGAAAUGAUUUCUAGUU